rnacentral:tRNA from 1 species
UCCCUGGUGGCUCACAGGGUAAAGCGCCUGCCUGAAAUACGGGAGGCCCAGGUUCGAUCCCUGGGUUGGGAA